GCGGCGGGGGGAGCGGUCCCGACGCCUGGACGCGGGUCCCGGGGCGGGGCCGGGCAGGGUCCCCAGGCCAACCCCCGCUGCCCCCACCCCGGCACGCCAGGCCGGGAAACCGGGAGCUGCCGGCCCCCGCCUCGGGACCGCUGGAAGGGGCCGCCCGGGUGGGGAAAGGGGGGAAGUACGGUCCUGGGAGCCCACAGAUACCCCGCGAAAUUGUCCCGUCUGGGCCAAGAUGGGCUAGCAAGGACAGAACUUAGUGGUUCUGGACCUUGUCCCACUAAAGGAGCACAGAGAGAGACCAGCUGCAGCUGAGCAAGAGAAUCACAACCUGAGGGGAAGCAGCUGUUGGCCAUGCUUUUGCCCUGCAGCUGACUGGGUUGCAGUGCCCAAGGUUGAAUGCUAACUCCUACGCCUCUCUGCCCUUCCCUGGGGAAGGAUAAGGAAGGUUUUGUUUCUCCUUUGACAUUCACCAUGGCAAACACAGCUCAGCAGAGUGGUGUAAAGACACAUAUGAGGUGAUAAUCAUGGAAACUGUGACUGCCAUGGAAAACCAGGCUGCUGGCUGCCACUGUGAUUGCCAUGGAAGACCAGGCUGCCAAUGCUUCACUGGUCAGCACUGCCCAUGGAAUUCAUAAAGCAUCUCUGUUGCCUGUGUUUGCUGUUUUGAUGAGACGCUCCAGUGUUCCCCCAGCUGCUGUUGGGUGAACAGUGGGAAGGACACAGGAAAGAAGGCUGUUCCAGGGAGUCCUCUUGUGAAAUCCAAAGAGAGAACGCUUCUCCUGCAGAGCUGGCUGCGGCUGCAAAACCAGAGCCUGCAGGGGCCUCUGGCUGGCCUCCAGGGAUUGCCAAACAGAGAUUCCCCACGUGCCCCACUUAUGCAAAGCACAGAACCGGGCGCCAGGAGGGCGAGGUGACGUGGAAGGAAUUUGUGUGCUGUAGGCACGACAAAACCGAGCAUCAAAACCAGCCGGGCUCUGGUGCUGGCCCAGUCCAACUGGUUGGGAGGGGAGGCAGCUGCAAAGCGAGUCAUGUGUGCAGGAAAGUCCCUCACUUGGCUGCAGCUUGCCGAGCUCUUCCUACUCACUUUCUCUUCUCAGAGCAUGCGCCUCCCAGAAAAUGGGGCUAAAAACCAAGUCUGGGCUGGGGAAGGCCUGCUUCUCCCUCAGCUGCAGCCAAGUGACUCAGCUGUAUGUCAGUACGGACAAGCCAUGAUCCUUCCUGAGAAGCCCCAUCUGGUACUUUAUCUGGGAGGUUUAUCUGCAGGAAAACCCCCAAAUCUCAGCAGAAGCUCAGCAAAAGCAGAAGGUGCUGGGCAGACAGCGGCUGCAGCUCAUGCCCUCAGUGCCAGUGUCACAUCUGUGAGCUGGACCUGGUCCCAACAGGCUGAGAUAUCCUUUGGAGUUUCCCACCCUUCCAAACAUUCACAGCAGACAGCUGGUGCUUGAACUCUUCAUGCUGCUUUAUUUUGUUUAAUCCCAUUUUUAAGUGAGGAAAUUAGCAGGCAGUGUGGCAAGACCAGGAAAGCUAAGUCACGGAGACAAUUUGUUAAUGCCAAAUAUUAUAUGCUGUGUGCUUGAGAGAGGGGGGAAAAAAAAAAAAAAGGUCCCAAAUCAAUGGGAAUUGGCAAAUCUCCAGGAAAACCUGGGCUAGCCUGAAAUGAUAACAGACUGGGGGUAGAACCUGCUAGCUCCAAGCUACUCCUUCCUUCCCCCUGUCCUUCAGCUCCCAGAAAAAAACACCCUGCCUGCUGAAAUAGCUCUCCUGUUCCAGACAGUCUUACUUAACCUCCUGUUAAAUAUCCUUCACAAAGCUCUUUUUCUCGGUGUGUGUUUUCCCAGGUUAGUAGCUGGCUGCUGGUUGGAAGGUUGAGGUGCCUCGUCAACACUUUAUGAGCACUCAUGAGAUAAGGGCAGCACGCUGAGCCCUGCCUAGGCAAGGUGGCUUUAGAGCCAGAGUAAAGGUUGCUUGUUUAGUCUGGCCAAAACUGGGGGUGGCUUUCUGCCUCCUGAUUCAGACUGGGUGCACCUGGCUCCAGUUUGGGAAUUACCUAAGAACCUGGCUCCCGAUGGGGGUGAUAGCAGAGGCUCUGGAGGCUUCAAAUGAAACCGUGUUCUCUUGUGGAGGGGCAGAGGCCCUGUGUAAGCAUCAAGUUCUCCUGAUGUGGUUAGUGAAGAAAAUCACGGGAACUUCUUAGCUGGGCUUUUAAAAGGGUCUUACAAGGAAAGGAGAAAUGGGUGUUCUGCUGCUUGGUAUAGCCUGGCAAAGUGAAACAGAACAGAUCCACUUCCUCCUAACCUCUAUGCUGCAAGCAAGCCUUGAAUGUCAUCAACAAGUGUGGUCCCUCAAAAAUGAACAUGUAGGUAAGGACCUAAUAAGGUAAAAACAUGU